GGCUAACGCUGGCGGCGUGUCUUAGCCAUGCAAGUCGAGCGGACUUAUGGGGUAACUUAUAAGUCAGCGGCGGACGGCGGAGUAACACGUAGCUAACCUACCCUCUGGACGGGGAUAACCUACCGAAAGGUGGGCUAAUACCCGAUGUAGUCAUCCUGUAUAGGGGUGAUGAAAGGUGGGCUUCUGUUUACAAGCUCAUGCUGGAGGAGGGGGCUGCGGCCUAUCAGGUAGUUGGUAGGGUAAUAGCCUACCAAGCCGAUGACGGGUAGCCGGCCUGAGAGGGUGACCGGCCCGAGGGGCACUGAGAUACGGGUCCCACUCCUACGGGAGGCAGCAGGCUAGAAAUUUGGGCAAUGGGGGAAACCCUGACCCAGUGACGCCGCGCGCAGGAAGGAGCCCUUCGGGGUGUAAACUGCUGUCGUGUAGGGAGAAGGGUACUAAGGUGAACAAUCUUAGUACUUGACGGUACUACAGGAGGAAGCCCAGGCUAACCUCGUG
rnacentral:rRNA from 1 species